AUUUUACUGAAUCCAGCUUGAAGAAUAUUUCUUUAGUAAAAAUGCAGUGAAAAAGUACAUUUUCCAGACGCAACUGAUCUGGACAUUACGCGAUGUAUUGGUAUUUCACUAACGACAGCCGGAGACCGGGAUGGGGGAAGAAUAUUUAGAGCUAAAAAUAAUACCAGCCAUGAAGAUAAUAUAUAGGCUUAUUUUAUUACUUAGUUAAUAUUUUUGUAAGAUAAAUUGUUUUCUUCAAUACAUUAAAGUUUCCAUACACA